rnacentral:rRNA from 1 species
CAGUCGCCGCGGUAAUACGAGGGGGGCAAGCGUUGUUCGGAUUUAUUGGGCGUAAAGGGUGCGUAGGCGGUUUGGCAAGUCUUGUGUGAAAUCUAUGGGCUCAACCCAUAGCCUGCACGAGAAACUACCGGGCUUGAGUGAUGGAGAGGUGAGUGGAAUUUCCGGUGUAGCGGUGGUAUGCGUAGAUAUCGGAAGGAACACCUGUGGCGAAAGCGGCUCACUGGACAUUAACUGACGCUGAUGCACGAAAGCUAGGGGAGCAAACAGGAUUAGAUACCCGAGUAGUCCCUGUCUCUUAUAC